CCGAAAUGCAGUGUCCCUGGAAGGGACGCCCUCUCUGGGCCCGCUGGCUCCCGUCUCAUUGGGCUGAAUGGGGUCAUGUGACCACUCUCCGCUGCAAAGGAGUCUGGGAAAUUGCAUUUUGUUGUUGUUGGAACUCAUUUUGAAGCCAAAUGAAACGAGAAUCGUGUCAACGAGGAAGGUUUAGGGAGGGGGUGGAUGUGUAGGCAACCAGCAGAGGGCCCCGAAAUCCGUGAAGAUCAGGUCUGACGGUGGCUCCAUGCUCCCUCCAUUAAAGGGCUUCACAAAAACCCUUCCGAAAAGAGCUGGGCAUCAGAGCACACUGAGCAGCAGGAUGAAAUGCCCACAGAGCUUCUGAGGCCAAGUCCUGUCUGACAGAUUUGGGAAGGUUCGAAUCUGUGCUGCUGCAUCCCUAUCCCCUGAAAUGAAACUUGACAGACGCAAUGAAACGCCGCAGGAGACAGUCAGCUUGCCAUCACCAGGAGUCUCCCAAUUUUGGUCAAGUGCAGAAAGAAACGCUGGAAAAAAGCCCAUGGGCUUUGGAGUCAGCUAGACCUGGGAUGCAGCACUUGCAUCUCCACCAUCAUUUCUGUGCCUUUGGAUUGGAUGCAUUUCCCUUGUCUGAGUCUUGGUUCUGUCAUCUCUAAUAUGGGAGAAACAGUGACAACCACAUGGGGCAGGUGGGACGAGGACAUGGGAGGUUUCCCAGGGCCCUGGCCUGGGGCUUGGUGUGUGGGAGAGAAGUUUCUGCCCCGUGACCCUGGGGACUGGGGAAAGGGGUCAGGAUGUAGCCCUCAGUGUAAUUUCUUUUGGGGUUCUGUGGGCGAAACUGACCACACAAGCAUCCCAGACUAAAGUGCGAGUUGACAUUCCUGGCUCUAGUUUUCAUCACAUCUUCCUGCUUUACACCAGGAGAGUCAGCCUGGUCCAGGUGUGAGUUUUUGUCUUAGACUUUAAGAAGGGGAAUGGAAACACCUGAACACUUGAUCAUUACAUGGCACGUCUCUUGCUGUGGGAGGGCCACGGUGCCCUCAGGGACAGCUGACCUAUGGAGGACUUUUGGCUCUCAGUUAAACGUCUCCUGACUGCCAUAUGCAUGUCUUUAUUUUUUCCCCAUUGCCUUUAAUAUUUUAUAUAUAUA
rnacentral:lncRNA from 10 species